AUUGAACGCUGGCGGCAGGCCUAACACAUGCAAGUCGAGCGGCAGCGGGGGAAGGCUUGCUUUCCCGCCGGCGAGCGGCGGACGGGUGAGUAAUGUCUGGGAAACUGCCUGAUGGAGGGGGAUAACUACUGGAAACGGUGGCUAAUACCGCAUAACGUCUUCGGACCAAAGUGGGGGACCUUCGGGCCUCAUGCCAUCAGAUGUGCCCAGAUGGGAUUAGCUAGUAGGUGGGGUAACGGCUCACCUAGGCGACGAUCCCUAGCUGGUCUGAGAGGAUGACCAGCCACACUGGAACUGAGACACGGUCCAGACUCCUACGGGAGGCAGCAGUGGGGAAUAUUGCACAAUGGGCGCAAGCCUGAUGCAGCCAUGCCGCGUGUAUGAAGAAGGCCUUCGGGUUGUAAAGUACUUUCAGCGGGGAGGAAGGUGUUGUGGUUAAUAACCGCAGCAAUUGACGUUACCCGCAGAAGAAGCACCGGCUAACUCCGUGCCAGCAGCCGCCGUAAGAC
rnacentral:rRNA from 1 species